ACGACUAUCAUUCCAGCUCGCUGUUCGCGAGCCGGUUCGUGUACGGAUUAAAAAUGAGCUCGAGAUUCAUCACUUGCUUGAUAAAUGAGUCGAAUUCAAGUUGAAACCUAAAUACAAAGAGAAUUAUAUUUUAUAAAUUUUAAUUAUUAGAUAAGAUUCUAAUUUUCUAAUUGUCUUCUAAUUUUUUACCAAACAUGAACUAGGCUGGACUAGGCUGGAAUACUAUCAAUAGCACGAAUAGUAGACUAAGCUGGAAUACUAUCAAUAGCACCAAACUAUUGGUGGUGCUAUUAGUUUUUUAACCAUUUAAUUGAGAAAUGUGUGGUUAGGAUGAAGUGGACCCUCUAGGGUUGCCCACUAGCAAUAAUAACAUUCAUAUUCAAUAUGAGAUUAUUCACACUUCUUGCUGGUGAACUGAUUUUGAUACCAAAUGUAACGACCCAGCCCACUGGCAACAAUAACUCGUUCGGCCUAAAUAUCGGUCAAAUGUAACGACUCAGCCUACUAGGGACAAUAACUCGUUGGGCCCAACCAACGGCCCAAAAUGCUUAAAUCUAGUUAUUAUUACUAGUGUCUAAGUCUCUUAUAUACCGAAAAUCAUAUCCUCAUUCAUAUCCGAUGUGGAAUUAUUAGGGUGUGACAGUUGAGUGAGUAGUUGGUUGAAUAGUAUAAUCUAAAGGGUAAAAAUAAUCAAAGGGUUAAAUCUAAUGAUGGAAAACUCGAUAGUACCAAAUUCUUAAUGCUAUCGAUAGUAUCCCAGCCGGACUCCUAGAAACAUUAACAUAGUU
rnacentral:lncRNA from 1 species